GCUCAGGUGGUGGAAUCGGUAGACACACACGUUUGAGGGGCGUGUGCCGAAAGGCGUAUGGGUUCGAGUCCCAUCUUGAGCA
rnacentral:tRNA from 1 species